rnacentral:tRNA from 1 species
GCAGUGGUAGCACAACUGGAGAGUGCACCGGGCAAUCCGGAAGCAUGUGUGGUUCAAGUCCCACCCGCUGCC